UGUGCCAAGCAGCCGCGGUAAUUCCAGCUCCAAUAGCGUAUAUUAAAGUUGUUGCGGUAAAAAAGCUCGUAGUUGGAUUUCUGUUGAGGGCGUCCGGUCCGUACCACGUACGCGUAUCUGGGUCGCGCUCGGCAUCCUCUCGAAGAACGGUUCUCGCGCUUGAUUGCGUGGUCCGGGUUUCGGGACUUUUACUUUGAGGAAAUUAGAGUGUUCACGGCAGGCAAUUGCCCGGAUACAUUAGCAUGGAAUAAUACUAUAGGAUUUUGGUUCUAUUUUGUUGGUUUCUAGGACUAAAAUAAUGAUUAAUAGGGACAAUUGGGGGCAUUCGUAUCAACACGCUAGAGGUGAAAUUCUUGGAUUGUGUUGCGACGAACUACUGCGAAAGCAUUUGCCAAGGAUGUUUUCAUUGAUCAAGAACGAAAGUAAGGGGAUCGAAGAUGAUUAGAUACCGUCGUAGUCUUUACCCACAAACUAUGCCAACUAGAGAUGGGGCAUCGUUCAAUACGACUUGCUCCGCACCUUAUGAGAUAUCAAAGUCUUUGGGUUCCGGGGGGAGUAUGGUCGCAAGUCUGGAACUUAAAGGAAUUGACGGAAGGGCACCACCAGGAGUGGAGCCUGCGGCUUAAUUUGACUCAACACGGGGAAACUCACCAGGUCCAGACAUAAUAAGGAUUGACAGAUUGAUAGCUCUUUCUUGAUUUUAUGGGUGGUGGUGCAUGGCCGUUCUUAGUUCGUGGAGUGAUUUGUCUGCUUAAUUGCGUUAACGAACGAGACCUUAACCUGCUAAAUAGUCCCGCAAAUUCUGAAUUUGUGUUGUGGCUUCUUAGAGGGACUAUUGGCGUAUAGCCAAUGGAAGUUUGAGGCAAUAACAGGUCUGU
rnacentral:rRNA from 1 species